GACAGAGGGUGCAAACGUUGUUCGGAAUUACUGGGCGUAAAGGGUGCGUAGGCGGCGGGGCAAGUCGGAUGUGAAAUCUCAGGGCUCAACCCUGAAACUGCAUUCGAUACUGCCUUGCUCGAGGACUGGAGAGGAGAUUGGAAUUCACGGUGUAGCAGUGAAAUGCGUAGAUAUCGUGAGGAAGACCAGUGGCGAAGGCGGAUCUCUGGACAGUUCCUGACGCUGAGGCACGAAGGCCAGGGGAGCAAACGGG
rnacentral:rRNA from 1 species